GGCUGUAUGGAACCUCAUCACCUUCAAGGAGCAAGGGGGCACAUUUGGAGACAACUGUCCAAACAGAAAUGUGACUGUGUAUUUCAGGUCUGGGGCUCCUCCAGUGAUCAACCCUCUGCACACCCAUUUCCCAAGAGAUACUGUUGUCCCAGGAUCCUUUGCGAUAACACUGACCUGGACUCUGCCAAAUCGUACAACAGGAGUAUUCAACGUGACC